CCAUAGCUUGGUGGGUAGAGCAUGAGACCCUCAAAUUUCAAGGUUGUGGGUUCAAGCCCCACUAUGCUGGCAUAAAGA